CUUUAGUUUAUUUAUAUAUGGAAUACUUUUUUCUUAUAAUUUCUUUUUUCUUUCGAAUUUUUUCCUGUAGGUGAUACUAAUCAAAGUUUUGAAUUAGGAAGAGAAUCACACGAUGUCAACGUGAGUGUUGAAUAUGGAAAAAAAAAAUUUGUAAAGGAAGUAUUCCUAAUGAACCUUAUGUUUUGCCAUCUUCUAAAAUUUGUUAUCAUUGUGGUGCUACAAAAUUCUAUAGAGAAAGCAAAGGCUUUUGUUGUUAUGAUGGAAAGGUCAAAUUAAAGUUACAUGAUAUACCUCGUGAAAUAUAUUAUUUAUUUACUUCCACAACUGAACAGGCUAUAGCUUUUAGAAAGGUUGUUCGUAGUUAUAACAAUCAUUUUGCGUUUACUUCAUUUGGUGUUAAGUAUGACAAAGAAUUGUGUACGAAUAAUAAAUGUAUAUAUACUUUUAGAAUUCAAGGACAAGUAUACCAUUUCAUAAAUUCCCUUCUGCCAAAGAAUGAAAAUCCGACUUAUUUACAGUUAUACUUCUAUGAUACUGAAAAUGAAAUUUGUAAUAGACUGAAUACUUCUGAUAAGUUUUGUGAGUUUACUUUAAGAAAGUUGAUAGAUGUUCUAAACAAAAAUCCAUAUUCAAAGUUCUUAAGAUCAUUAAGUGAAGUUAGUGAUUUAGAAUCAUAUUGUAUUUUACUAAAGUCUAAUCCUGCUGUUGAUCAGAAAGUAUAUAACUUGCCAACGUCAGAACAAGUGGCUAUAGUUUGGGUUGACGAUGACCCAUCAUCUACAAAUACCAGGGGUCGGGAUUUAUUAAUUUAUGGGCAUUCAGGUAAUGCAUAUAAAGUUCAAUACUAUUAUGGUUGUUAUGAUCCUCUUCAAUAUCCGCUACUUUUUUCGUAUGGAGAACCUGGAUGGCAUGAGGGUAUUGAAAAGGUGAAUGUAAAUGUUUCACAAUCUUGGGUUUGUCAGAAUUUAAUAGAAGUUAAUCAUAUACAUUCUGCGGAUGAAUUGUUGGAAGUGGAAGACUAUGGUAAACAAUUUUAGUAAUUUCUAUUAUUUAAACAUUUUAUUUAUGUAAUUAAUUGCAUUUAGUGAAUGAACUUUUUGUUGAUAUAAUUUUCUUCCUUUUUGCAGUUUUGAAGGCAAAGAAAAAAUAAAUAACUAUAUCAUGUCGAGAAUAUUAUUGUUACAAGCUUCAAAUCAGG
rnacentral:lncRNA from 1 species